rnacentral:rRNA from 1 species
UACGAAGGGGGCUAGCGUUGCUCGGAAUUACUGGGCGUAAAGCGCACGUAGGCGGAUUGUUAAGUCGGGGGUGAAAUCCUGGAGCUCAACUCCAGAACUGCCUUCGAUACUGGCGAUCUCGAGUUCGGGAGAGGUGAGUGGGAACUGCGAGUGUAGAGGUGAAAUUCGUAGAUAUUCGCAAGAACACCAGUGGCGAAGGCGGCUCACUGGUCCGGUACUGACGCUGAGGUGCGAAAGCGAGGGGAGCAAACGGGAGUUAAGAAACCCG